rnacentral:rRNA from 1 species
GACGAACGCUGGCGGCAUGCCUAACACAUGCAAGUCGAACGAGAUCUUCGGGUCUAGUGGCGCGCGGGUGCGUAACGCGUGGGAAUCUGCCCUUUGGUUCGGAAUAACAGUUGGAAACGACUGCUAAUUCCGGAUGAUGACGAAAGUCCAAGGAUUUAUCGCCAGAGGAUGAGCCCGCGUAGGAUUAGCUAGUUGGUGUGGUAAAGGCGCACCAAGGCGACGAUCCUUAGCUGGUCUGAGAGGAUGAUCAGCCACACUGGGACUGAGACACGGCCCAGACUCCUACGGGAGGCAGCAGUGGGGAAUAUUGGACAAUGGGCGAAAGCCUGAUCCAGCAAUGCCGCGUGAGUGAUGAAGGCCUUAGGGUUGUAAAGCUCUUUUACCCGGGAUGAUAAUGACAGUACCGGGAGAAUAAGCUCCGGCUAACUCCGUGCCAGCCGCCGCCGUAA